AGCUUUGCGCAGUGGCAGUAUCGUAGCCAAUGAGGUUUAACCGAGGCGCGAUUAUUGCUAAUAAAAAUAGGUCUUUGAGAGCUUGGGCCAUCUUCUAAAUUUGGAGAGAGCAAAGUGAACUGUAUUUUGGUAAAAAAAAUUUUU